AUGAGUAGGCAUCUUUUCAACCGUAUUAGAGAGGGGGUGGUCGGCUAUGAUGACUAUUUCGAGUGCAAAGAGGAUGCCGUUGGCAAGAUUGGUUUUUCCUCUUAUCAGAAAUGCACUGCUGUCAUCCGAAUGCUUGCAUACGGAGUGCCCGGUGAUCUCAUUGACGAGUACGUCCGUAUGAGCGAGUCUACUUGCCUAGAGUCCCUGUAUAAGUCCUGCAAGGCUGUUAUUGCUGUGUUUGGCUCUGAGUACUUGAGAGAGCCAACUGCUGAAGAUACAGCCCAUUUGUUGGCGAUGAAUGCCAGGAGGGGCUUCCCAGGAAUGCUUGGUAGUAUAGACUGCAUGCAUUGGGAGUGGAAAACCGCCCUUCUGCUUGGCAAGGGCAGUAUAAGGGCCAUGUCAGGGCUUGCACUGUCAUAUUUGAGGCCGUGGCGUCUCAAGAUCUCUGGAUCUGGCCAUCGGCGGCGCUGA
rnacentral:rRNA from 1 species